AGCUCAGCUGGAUAGAGUACCUGGCUACGAACCAGGCGGUCAGAGGUUCGAAUCCUCUC
rnacentral:tRNA from 2 species